ACUCCUACGGGAGGCAGCAGUGGGGAAUUUUGCGCAAUGGGGGAAACCCUGACGCAGCAACGUUGCGUGAGUGAUGAAGGCCUUCGGGUCGUAAAGCUCUGUCAGAGGGAAAGAAAUGCAGUAAUGCUAAUACCAUGACUGCUUGACGGUACCCUCAAAGGAAGCACCGGCUAACUCCGUGCCAGCAGCCGCGGUAAUAUGGAGGGUGCAAGCGUUGUUCGGAAUUAUUGGGCGUAAAGCGCGUGUAGGCGGUUUGUUAAGUCUGAUGUGAAAGCCCCGGGCUCAACCUGGGAAGUGCAUUGGAAACUGGCAGACUUGAAUACGGGAGAGGGUAGUGGAAUUCCUAGUGUAGGAGUGAAAUCCGUAGAUAUUAGGAGGAACACCGGUGGCGAAGGCGGCUACCUGGACCGAUAUUGACGCUGAGACGCGAAAGCGUGGGGAGCAAACAGGAUUAGAUAUCCUGGUAGUCCACGCCGUAAACGAUGAGAACUAGGUGUCGCGGGUA
rnacentral:rRNA from 1 species